rnacentral:rRNA from 1 species
GAUGAACGCUGGCGGCGUGCCUAAUACAUGCAAGUCGAGCGAACAGAUGAGGAGCUUGCUCCUCUGACGUUAGCGGCGGACGGGUGAGUAACACGUGGAUAACCUACCUAUAAGACUGGGAUAACUUCGGGAAACCGGAGCUAAUACCGGAUAAUAUAUUGAACCGCAUGGUUCAAUAGUGAAAGACGGUUUUGCUGUCACUUAUAGAUGGAUCCGCGCCGCAUUAGCUAGUUGGUAAGGUAACGGCUUACCAAGGCAACGAUGCGUAGCCGACCUGAGAGGGGGAUCCGCCACACUGGAACUGAGACACGGUCCAGACUCCUACGGGAGGCAGCAGUAGGGAAUCUUCCGCAAUGGGCGAAAGCCUGACGGAGCAACGCCGCGUGAGUGAUGAAGGUCUUCGGAUCGUAAAACUCUGUUAUUAGGGAAGAACAAAUGUGUAAGUAACUAUGCACGUCUUGACGGUACCUAAUCAGAAAGCCACGGCUAACUACGUG